rnacentral:rRNA from 1 species
UACGAAGGGGGGCUAGCGUUGUUCGGAUUUACUGGGCGUAAAGCGCACGUAGGCGGAUUGUUAAGUCAGGGGGUGAAAUCCCGGAGCUCAACUCCGGAACUGCCUUUGAUACUGGCAAUCUAGAGUCCGGAAGAGGUGAGUGGAACUCCUAGUGUAGAGGUGGAAUUCGUAGAUAUUAGGAAGAACACCAGUGGCGAAGGCGGCUCACUGGUCCGGUACUGACGCUGAGGUGCGAAAGCGUGGGGAGCAAACAGG